rnacentral:rRNA from 1 species
GACGAACCGUGCGAACGUUGUUCGGAUUCACUGGGCUUAAAGGGCGCGUAGGCGGGCGGCCAAGUCCGGGGUGAAAUCUUUCGGCUCAACCGGAAAAUUGCCUUGGAUACUGGCCGUCUCGAGGGAGGUAGGGGCAUGUGGAACUUCCGGUGGAGCGGUGAAAUGCGUUGAUAUCGGAAGGAACGCCGGUGGCGAAAGCGACGUGCUGGACCUCUUCUGACGCUGAGGCGCGAAAGCUA